AGCCCAAUGAAAGAUUCUCCGAAGACGGACAGUGGAAGUGUAGAGAUCAUUUCAUAUGGACAGUAUUUUAGUCCAUUCAAAUCUGAAAUGCAUAGGGAGGUUAUUGAACAGUUUCAGAACAUAGAAAA